rnacentral:rRNA from 1 species
GAUGAACGCUGGCGGCGUGCCUAAUACAUGCAAGUCGAGCGAACGGACGAGAAGCUUGCUCCUCUGAUGUUAGCGGCGGACGGGUGAGUAACACGUGGAUAACCUACCUAUAAGACUGGGGUAACUUCGGGAAACCGGAGCUAAUACCGGCUAAUAUUUUGAACCGCAUGGUUCAAAAGUGAAAGACGGUCUUGCUGUCACUUAUAGAUGGAUCCGCGCUGCAUUAGCUAGUUGGUAAGGUAACGGCUUACCAAGGCAACGAUGCGUAGCCGACCUGAGAGGGUGAUCGGCCACACUGGAACUGAGACACGGUCCAGACUCCUACGGGAGGCAGCAGUAGGGAAUCUUCCGCAAUGGGCGAAAGCCUGACGGAGCAACGCCGCGUGAGUGAUGAAGGUCUUCGGAUCGUAAAACUCUGUUAUUAGGGAAGAACAUAUGUGUAAGUAACUGUGCACGUCUUGACGGUACCUAAUCAGAAAGCCACGGCUAACUACGUG